AGAGUUUGAUCCUGGCUCAGGAUGAACGCUGGCGGCGUGCUUAACACAUGCAAGUCGAACGAUGAUCCGGUGCUUGCACCGGGGAUUAGUGGCGAACGGGUGAGUAACACGUGAGUAACCUGCCCUUAACUCUGGGAUAAGCCUGGGAAACUGGGUCUAAUACCGGAUAUGACUCCUCAUCGCAUGGUGGGGGGUGGAAAGCUUUAUUGUGGUUUUGGAUGGACUCGCGGCCUAUCAGCUUGUUGGUGAGGUAAUGGCUCACCAAGGCGACGACGGGUAGCCGGCCUGAGAGGGUGACCGGCCACACUGGGACUGAGACACGGCCCAGACUCCUACGGGAGGCAGCAGUGGGGAAUAUUGCACAAUGGGCGCAAGCCUGAUGCAGCGACGCCGCGUGAGGGAUGACGGCCUUCGGGUUGUAAACCUCUUUCAGUAGGGAAGAAGCGAAAGUGACGGUACCUGCAGAAGAAGCGCCGGCUAACUACGUGCCAGCAGCCGCGGUA
rnacentral:rRNA from 1 species